CAAGCGGUGGAUGAUGUGGAUUAAUUCGAUGCAACGCGAAGAACCUUACCUACCCUUGACAUGUCCGGAACUUGCCAGAGAUGGCUUGGUGCCCGAAAGGGAAUCGGAACACAGGUGCUGCAUGGCUGUCGUCAGCUCGUGUCGUGAGAUGUUGGGUUAAGUCCCGCAACGAGCGCAACCCUUAUCAUUAGUUGCUACGCAAGGGCACUCGUAAUGAGACUGCCGGUGACAAACCGGAGGAAGUGGGGAUGACGUCAAGUCCUCAUGGCCCUUAUGGGUAGGGCUUCACACGUCAUACAAUGGUCGGUACAGAGGGUUGCCAAGCCGCGAGGCGGAGCCAAUCCCACAAAGCCGAUCGUAGUCCGGAUUGUUCUCUGCAACUCGAGAGCAUGAAGUCGGAAUCGCUAGUAAUCGCAGGUCAGCAUACUGCGGUGAAUACGUUCCCGGGUCUU
rnacentral:rRNA from 1 species